rnacentral:miRNA from 1 species
CUAGUGAGGGACCGAACCAGGACUC